CGAAUGGAUUGAGAGCUUGCUCUCAAGAAGUUAGCGGCGGACGGGUGAGUAACACGUGGGUAACCUGCCCAUAAGACUGGGAUAACUCCGGGAAACCGGGGCUAAUACCGGAUAANAUUUUGAACNGCAUGGUUCGAAAUUGAAAGGCGGCUUCGGCUGUCACUUAUGGAUGGACCCGCGUCGCAUUAGCUAGUUGGUGAGGUAACGGCUCACCAAGGCAACGAUGCGUAGCCGACCUGAGAGGGUGAUCGGCCACACUGGGACUGAGACACGGCCCAGACUCCUACGGGAGGCAGCAGUAGGGAAUCUUCCGCAAUGGACGAAAGUCUGACGGAGCAACGCCGCGUGAGUGAUGAAGGCUUUCGGGUCGUAAAACUCUGUUGUUAGGGAAGAACAAGUGCUAGUUGAAUAAGCUGGCACCUUGACGGUACCUAACCAGGAAAGCCACGGCUAACUACGUGCCAGCAGCCGCGGUAAUACGUAGGUGGCAAGCGUUAUCCGGAAUUAUUGGGCGUAAAGCGCGCGCAGGUGGUUUUCUUAAGUCUGAUGUGAAAGCCCACGGCUCACCGUGGAGGGUCAUUGGAAACUGGGAGACUUGAGUGCAGAAGAGGAAAGUGGAAUUCCAUGUGUAGCGGUGAAAAUGCGGUAGAGAUAUGGAGGAACACCAGUGGCGAAGGCGACUUUCUUGGUCUGUAACUGACACUUGAGGCGCGAAAGCGUGGGGAGCAAACAGGAUUAGAUACCUUGGUAGU
rnacentral:rRNA from 1 species